UCUGCCUCGGAUCUGUUGACACAACUUAAUGGGAUCUUUUGCAAGAACAAGGAGUGUUCGUGAUAGAUCAAAGAGUUGGAAAGUAAGAAAUUCUUACUGAGAUUCCCACCAUGGAAAAAUGUGGAUGAUGUGAUUGAGUUCCCAGCAUUUGAGUUACCGAUUGCUGGGGUCUCUGUCAAAAUAUGUGAAUGGGAGGGAUUGUUGGAUGAAUUUGGAGCUGUAACUGAAGCUUGGGUCCAGAUUGAAGGAAUUCCACCUAAGUGGUGUGCUUGGCAAGUCUUUGCCCAAAUCACAACCUAUUUUGGGAUUCUGGUGGAUGUUGACUGGAAUGGCAUUUUCAAAAGUUUUUAUGAAACUGUCCGAGUUAAAGUUGCUUGCAGAGAUCCCAGAAAAAUUCCUUUUGAAAGGCUGGUGGAAAUUAAAAAGAAACUCUAUUUGUUGUUCUUUACAGUGGAGGGCUUUGAGCAAAUGGAUGAGGAAUCUGAUGGAGGUGAUGAUGAUCCAGGUCUGGAUAAUUUGGAUGGUAACAACAAGGACAACAACAAAGAUGCUCCUGGUAAGGAUGGCAUGGAAUAG
rnacentral:rRNA from 1 species